rnacentral:rRNA from 1 species
GACGGAGGGGGCAAGCGUUGUUCGGAAUUACUGGGCGUAAAGCGCGUGUAGGCGGUCCGAUAAGUCGAGUGUGAAAUCCCCGGGCUUAACCCAGGAAGUGCAUUCGAAACUGUCGGGCUUGAGUACGGGAGAGGGAAGUGGAAUUCCUGGUGUAGAGGUGAUAUUCGUAGAUAUCAGGAGGAACACCGGUGGCGAAGGCGGCUUCCUGGACCUAUACUGACGCUGAGACGCGAAAGCGUGGGGAGCAAACAGG